rnacentral:siRNA from 1 species
UUACAAUGAGGACUACGAUCG